rnacentral:rRNA from 1 species
GUAGUCAUAUGCUUGUCUCAAAGAUUAAGCCAUGCAUGUCUAAGUAUAAGCAACUUGUACUGUGAAACUGCGAAUGGCUCAUUAAAUCAGUUAUCGUUUAUUUGAUAGUACCUUACUACAUGGAUAACUGUGGUAAUUCUAGAGCUAAUACAUGCAUUAUAAGCCCCAACUUCCGGAAGGGGUGUAUUUAUUAGAUAAAAAACCAACGCGGCUCGCCGCUCCCUUGGUGAUUCAUAAUAACUUAACGAAUCGCAUGGCCUUGCGCCGGCGAUGGUUCAUUCAAAUUUCUGCCCUAUCAACUUUCGAUGGUAGGAUAGUGGCCUACCAUGGUGGCAACGGGUAACGGGGAAUUAGGGUUCGAUUCCGGAGGGGGAGCAUGAGAAACGGCUACCACAUCCAAGGAAGGCAGCAGGCGCGCAAAUUACCCACUCCUGACUCGGGGAGGUAGUGACGAAAAAUAACAAUACGGGACUCAUUCGAGGCCCCGUAAUUGGAAUGAGUACACUUUAAAUCCUUUAAC